rnacentral:rRNA from 1 species
AUUCCAGCUCCAAUAGCGUAUAUUAAAGUUGUUGCAGUUAAAAAGCUCGUAGUUGGAUUUUUGACAGGAGCGACCAUACCGGGCUUGAUUGUCCGUGUUUUGUGUUGUCUCCAGUCAUCCUCGUGGAGAGCGUUUCUGGCAUUAAUUUGUUGGAGGCGGGACCCGCGUCAUUUACUGUGAAAAAAUUAGAGUGUUUAAAGCAGGCAAUUGGCUUGAAUACAUUAGCAUGGAAUAAUAAGAUAGGACUUUGGUGCUAUUUUGUUGGUUUGCACAUCAAGGUAAUGAUUAACAGAAUCAGUCGGGGAUAUUCGUAUGCAAAUGUCAGAGGUGAAAUUCUUGGAUUUUUACAGACGAACUACUGCGAAAGCAUUUAUCAAGGAUGUUUUCAUUA